rnacentral:rRNA from 1 species
CGAAUGCUGACAUAAGUAACGAUAAAGCGGGUGAAAAGCCCGCUCGCCGGAAGACCAAGGGUUCCUGUCCAACGUUAAUCGGGGCAGGGUGAGUCGACCCCUAAGGCGAGGCCGAAAGGCGUAGUCGAUGGGAAACAGGUUAAUAUUCCUGUACUUGGUGUUACUGCGAAGGGGGGACGGAGAAGGCUAUGUUGGCCGGGCGACGGUUGUCCCGGUUUAAGCGUGUAGGCUGGUUUUCCAGGCAAAUCCGGAAAAUCAAGGCUGAGGCGUGAUGACGAGGCACUACGGUGCUGAAGCAACAAAUGCCCUGCUUCCAGGAAAAGCCUCUAAGCAUCAGGUAACAUCAAAUCGUACCCCAAACCGACACAGGUGGUCAGGUAGAGAAUACCAAGGCGCUUGAGAGAACUCGGGUGAAGGAACUAGGCAAAAUGGUGCCGUAACUUCGGGAGAAGGCACGCUGAUAUGUAGGUGAAGUCCCUCGCGGAUGGAGCUGAAAUCAGUCGAAGAUACCAGCUGGCUGCAACUGUUUAUUAAAAACACAGCACUGUGCAAACACGAAAGUGGACGUAUACGGUGUGACGCCUGCCCGGUGCCGGAAGGUUAAUUGAUGGGGUCAGCGCAAGCGAAGCUCUUGAUCGAAGCCCCGGUAAACGGCGGCCGUAACUAUAACGGUCCUAAGGUAGCGAAAUUCCUUGUCGGGUAAGUUCCGACCUGCACGAAUGGCGUAAUGAUGGCCAGGCUGUCUCCACCCGAGACUCAGUGAAAUUGAACUCGCUGUGAAGAUGCAGUGUACCCGCGGCAAGACGGAAAGACCCCGUGAACCUUUACUAUAGCUUGACACUGAACAUUGAGCCUUGAUGUGUAGGAUAGGUGGGAGGCUUUGAAGUGUGGACGCCAGUCUGCAUGGAGCCGACCUUGAAAUACCACCCUUUAAUGUUUGAUGUUCUAACGUGGACCCGUGAUCCGGGUUGCGGACAGUGUCUGGUGGGUAGUUUGACUGGGGCGGUCUCCUCCUAAAGAGUAACGGAGGAGCACGAAGGUUGGCUAAUCCUGGUCGGACAUCAGGAGGUUAGUGCAAUGGCAUAAGCCAGCUUGACUGCGAGCGUGACGGCGCGAGCAGGUGCGAAAGCAGGUCAUAGUGAUCCGGUGGUUCUGAAUGGAAGGGCCAUCGCUCAACGGAUAAAAGGUACUCCGGGGAUAACAGGCUGAUACCGCCCAAGAGUUCAUAUCGACGGCGGUGUUUGGCACCUCGAUGUCGGCUCAUCACAUCCUGGGGCUGAAGUAGGUCCCAAGGGUAUGGCUGUUCGCCAUUUAAAGUGGUACGCGAGCUGGGUUUAGAACGUCGUGAGACAGUUCGGUCCCUAUCUGCCGUGGGCGCUGGAGAACUGAGGGGGGCUGCUCCUAGUACGAGAGGACCGGAGUGGACGCAUCACUGGUGUUCGGGUUGUCAUGCCAAUGGCACUGCCCGGUAGCUAAAUGCGGAAGAGAUAAGUGCUGAAAGC